rnacentral:rRNA from 1 species
AUUGAACGCUGGCGGCAUGCUUUACACAUGCAAGUCGAACGGCAGCGCGGGCUUUAGCCUGGCGGCGAGUGGCGAACGGGUGAGUAAUACAUCGGAACGUGCCCAGUAGUGGGGGAUAGCUCGGCGAAAGCCGGAUUAAUACCGCAUACGACCUGAGGGUGAAAGCGGGGGAUCUUCGGACCUCGCGCUAUUGGAGCGGCCGAUGGCAGAUUAGCUAGUUGGUGGGGUAAAGGCCUACCAAGGCGACGAUCUGUAGCUGGUCUGAGAGGACGACCAGCCACACUGGGACUGAGACACGGCCCAGACUCCUACGGGAGGCAGCAGUGGGGAAUUUUGGACAAUGGGCGAAAGCCUGAUCCAGCAAUGCCGCGUGUGUGAUGAAGGCCUUCGGGUUGUAAAGCACUUUUGGCGGGAACGAAAAGGACUGUGCCAAUACCACGGUUCGAUGACGGUACCCGCAGAAUAAGCACCGGCUAACUACGUG